AGGACGAACGCUGGCGGCGUGCCUAACACAUGCAAGUCGAGCGGUAAGGCCCUUUCGGGGGUACACGAGCGGCGAACGGGUGAGUAACACGUGAGUAAUCUGCCCUCCACUUGGGGAUAAGCUUCGGAAACGGGGUCUAAUACCUGAUACGACAACUUCCUGCAUGGGAUGGUUGUGGAAAGUUUUUUCGGUGGGGGAUGUGCUCGCGGCCUAUCAGCUUGUUGGUGGGGUAAUGGCCUACCAAGGCUUCGACGGGUAGCCGGCCUGAGAGGGUGACCGGCCACACUGGGACUGAGACACGGCCCAGACUCCUACGGGAGCAGCAGUGGGGAAUAUGGACAAUGGGCGGAAGCCUGAUCCAGCAACGCCGCGUGAGGGAUGACGGCCUUCGGUUGUAAACCUCUUUCAGUACCGACGAAGCGCCCGUUGUGGUGGUGACGGUAGGUACAGAAGAAGCACGGCCAACUACGUGCCAGCAGCCGC
rnacentral:rRNA from 1 species